CGCCGCCUCCCUAGAAACGUGCUUUGGCCGCAAGAGGGCGACAAAGCCCAGACUGCGCGAGUAGACGCGGCGGGUCUCUGGACGUUCCCGGGGCUCCGCGGUGACCGGGUAACAAAGAGCCUGAGCCAGGGCCACUCCAGGGCUCGGUCCAUCAGCAGGCUGUCCAUCACGGGUGAGAUCAUCUGGUACCUGCACGUGACCACCCCACAGACUCUAAGCCGCUUUGACCCGACUUCCUCCUUUCCGACAUCGGUUUCCCUGGUUUCCCCGUCUGUCAGCUGUGGGUUCCAGGAAGAGCUGGGGAGUGGGGCGGCUGCUUCUUCAAGACCGCUCAGAGGCCCCUCCUCCUUGCCACCUUCCCUGUUCCUCCCACUUGGACUGGCAUCUCUGCUUCACACCAGGCACCUCCAGGGUGCACUGGGUGGAGUUCAGGAGGCCAGCUGACCUUCAGCACUAGGCUGCCAGAGUGGGCAGUGAGCCACACCAAGCAAGCUGGCUGUCACAGGCCUGGCUGCAGCUGAUACCAAUGGGACCCCAGCAGUUCAACAGGGACUUCCUCCCUCCCAGCCUCCAUUUGCUCAUCUGUACAGGCUCUGUGCCCUCAGGUCCCAGAGCCGCCUUCUGAGGCUCACUCCCCAUCAUGCUGACAACUCCUGCGGUUGCCCACUGCCCUUGGGACGGAGACCACAACCUGUAGGCCCCGCUCAGCCUCCUCUCAUUACAUGCAGCUCCUCUUCCUGCCUCUGCCCCCACCCUCAGCCCUGUGACGCCUCAGGACCUUUGCACCAGCUGUUUUCCUGUCGGGCCCAGGCACAUGCUGCCUUCAAAAUAAAAUACAUUUUAAACUGAGGGCAUGGGGCCCUAACAGAGUCCUAACAGAAGGUAGGUGGGUUCUGGUCCCUUCAGGAAGGGCUUCCUGGGGUAGGGGGCAUUUCCACCACCCUCCCUCCCUCUCCAUUUUUUGUUUUUUGUUUUGUUUUGUGUUGUUGUUGUUUUUUUGGCCGAGGUCUGCAGCAGCUUAAUGUGGGAAUCUCAGUUCCCAGACCAGGGAUUGAACCCAGGCUGAAGAGGCAAGACUGUCCAGUCCUCACCACUAGGCCUGUCAGGUUUCGGGGUUGUCACUGGGGGCUCCUGAGAGUCUCUCGUGGUGUGGGAGGCAGUGAAGAAGAAAGCCAGCUCAGUGGGUGGGUGCUGUUUUGCCUAUGGGCCCUGGGAGAGCCUGCAUAGAGGGAGGAGUCAGGGUCCCCUGGGUGUUCCUAGACCCAGGAUCCCUGGGCUCCUUGUUCUGCAGCAGGCAGGGUCCCGAGGCCAGUGAGGUGGCCUGGGAAGCAGACUCAUCGUCACCUUGCCAAGGGACCACAGGUCCCCCUCCUGCCAAGGUCCUCAGCCCAGGAGAGGCAAAGCGGCCUGAACGGCA